AAAAAUAAUAAUAAUAAUAAUAAUAAAAAAAAACGAAAAAUAAAAAUAAAAAUAAAAACAAAAAAAAAACAAAAAACAAAAAAAAAUUAAUUAAUUAAUUAAUUAAUUAAAUAAAUAAAUAAAAUAAAUAAAUAAAAUAUAACAAAUUAUUUUGGACUUGGGUCUCCCUCAUUUAAGCCCACUACCCACGAAAAUCAGUCUAUAAAUACUGAAGUUUCAGUAGAGGAGUGACACUUGGAGUUACACUGGGAGAUUCACUUGAGAAAAAGGGAGAGAAGCAAAAUACUCUGAGGUUUC
rnacentral:lncRNA from 1 species